CUACUCUUGACAUCCUGCGAACUUGGUAGAGAUACCUUGGUGCCUUCGGGAACGCAGAGACAGGUGCUGCAUGGCUGUCGUCAGCUCGUGUUGUGAAAUGUUGGGUUAAGUCCCGUAACGAGCGCAACCCUUGUCCUUAGUUGCCAUCAUUUAGUUGGGGACCCUAAGGAGACUGCCGGUGACAAACCGGAGGAAGGCGGGGACGACGUCAAGUCAUCAUGGCCCUUACGAGUAGGGCUACACACGUGCUACAAUGGCAAGUACAGAGGGCCGCAAAGCCGCGAGGUGGAGCUAAUCUCACAAAGCUUGUCGUAGUCCGGAUUGGAGUCUGCAACUCGACUCCAUGAAGUCGGAAUCGCUAGUAAUCGUGAAUCAGAAUGUCACGGUGAAUACGUUCCC
rnacentral:rRNA from 1 species